GAUCCUGGCUCAGGAUGAACGCUGGCGGCGUGCUUAACACAUGCAAGUCGAGCGAAGCACUUUGGAAAGAUUCUUCGGAUGAUUUCCUUUGUGACUGAGCGGCGGACGGGUGAGUAACGCGUGGGUAACCUGCCUCAUACAGGGGGAUAACAGUUAGAAAUGACUGCUAAUACCGCAUAAGACCACGGUACCGCAUGGUGCAGUGGUAAAAACUCCGGUGGUAUGAGAUGGACCCGCGU
rnacentral:rRNA from 1 species